UUAGCCUAAUGGUGAUAUUCUUCUUUUCCAGCAGCAACUUUCCCAGAUUCGAUCGGCGUCGAAAUAAAUUCACUAGAACCGGACGGAGAUGACUGUUUUUGACUCAGCUCAACACCAAGAUAUUUCAACGAUAUUUUCUCAGUCACAGGCACGGACAGUGAUUCUUCACCAGCCACAGCAACUAUCUCAGCUUGGUGAGUUUUUGUUUUCUUUUUUUCCUUGAUCAAGUACCAUUUGUGUAUCUUGUCGCUACGGAAGUUCACCAGGUGACUCAUUUUUUUCUUUUCUUUAGGUGAUCCUCGAGCCGAUGUUGCGUUUAUUCGGCGAAUUCGCCACCUUGUCAACAAUAACACGUAGGGAGCUGUUUUUCUUCUUUUUCUUGCUUCGAAGGAGUUUGAAACGAUGCCGCCAUCGUGGAAAUUGGAUCCACUUGCCUGACUGAGCGAAUGGCUGUCACAUCUAGAAACACUAGGCGAGUCGCUUUUCUUUUUCUUAUGUCACAGCUUCCGUCCGGGAUGACUGAACUCUCAGCCUUCAGCAUCCAUAUUGAACAGAGAUGCCGGAACAAUACUGCAGUGUCUGGAAAACUGCCAGGAUUGCAGGUACGUUGAAUUUACAACUAGUUUUUCAUUUUUCUCGUACAUAUUAAUGGAAUUUUUCAACAUCUCUUUUAUCAGCGAACUGACACUAUGAGAACUGGAAGUUUUUCCUGGAGCUGGAACUGGAAUCCUUUUUCUCAUCUCUGCUGAAGUCGCAAUUGUGUCACACGUGUAUCCAAGUUGAUCGAUGGAAAACUGGAUCGUCGCGAGUUGUCAAUUCCAGGAUUUGGAGAAUUAUUUUCAGCCGUCAUCUCAUAUAGUCGUCGCAUCCGUUCAGGUAAUAAUUCAAGAAAUUCAUCCGAUAAAUAUUCCAAAUUAUUCGUAGCCAUUAUCGAACUUUGUAACUUCUCUGUUUCAGGUACGUGGUACAAGCUUUUACAACGUUCGGCGCUUGACCUUGAGCUUUCGUGUCAAGCUUGUUCAACUGUGCUCGGUUUUUCCAAACCAAAGCUUGUCGAACUUGGUAUGAAAGCUCUAUUUAUUACGCGAUUUUCGACACUUUUUCGCGAUUUUUUCGAGAAUAAAAACUCACAUACCUGUUCUGAUGAACGUUGCGGUCGCCAAGUUGACCGUUGGUUGAUUGUUGCAGUCGCCUGGUUGACUGGUUGGUCGCCUCGUUGACAAAAUUGGACCGAAAUUUUUCCGAAUAAACGAUAAAAAAAAUUCGCGAUUUCUUCGAAUCGUCUCUGUGAGGUGAAACCUCAAAUGGAAAACUAGUUUCCAAUGCAAUAAAUUGCAAUUUGCGUCUUACGAGCGCAAUUGUAGGCUAGGCCUGAGAACACGCGGUGUGCCUCGUUUUCGACUAAAACGUCUCUGCUUGCGCCUAAAUAUUGCAAUAAAUGCAAUUUUGAAAAGCCCUGGGUUAGAGAACCACGCUUGGGCGCCAAAUAUGUGGUGGUUUGGGAGGUCUUUACUUUGAGGGAGACCUCCGCAAGACCAGCGUGCAUAUAGUAAGCCCAGGGAACCUAAACUUGCCCGAUAUCCUUGCGAAAGAUAUCAAAUUGCAGUGAUGUUGAGACACCUCAUAAAUGAUCAUAAGACCGCUAAAUGUUCGUAAUGUUUUAUUCACUUCUCUGGUAUAACACACGCGAAGAAUUAUAAUAAAACACACUACACAUUAUUGAAUAAAAUACACUUGUAGUAUCGACUACAAGCGGAAGCUCUGAACUUGCUACCUUACGCUAGCACCAGUGAAAAUAUACCUAACGAGCUUUCAAAGCUCGAAGCUCGGAGUGGCGCAUCUCGAACUACUUCGAUAGAGUGCACUACUCGUAAGCAGUGCUGCCACUCCGACAGGAACACAACUUCCCUCUAGGUGGAAGCUGCGGGCGCAUCCCCUACCGGUACACCUUAUUAUCAAUCUUCUUUCGCCCCAAAAUUGGGGGCGAGAUGCCUAUCACCACCAAAAUUGGGCUUUCCAGAAGUUGUUUGGUUUUCUAUUGUUUUUGGAUGCCCUCAUGCAAAAUUGCAGAAUUAUGUUACCGGCAGUAUCGCUUUUUUUUUGGUGGUGCCGUGACACAAAAAACACAUUUUUGAGUUUUUGAAGAUGACCCCACCUGGAGAAAAAAUUUGAAAAAAAAAUACCAAUUACCAAUACUUAGUACUCAUGCAGAUAUAUUUUUGAAAGAAAAAUGUUGUGUAUCGGAAUAUGGUUUGGAAAUACGGCGGUUUCAAAUUUUCUUUUGUCAACAUCUCCCCCUCCCCGGGGGGAGGGGGGGGCAAAAAAUUUUUAAAAAAUUCACGUUGCUAGACUCAUGUCACCUCCAUAUAUUUUGGGUGAAUUCAUGUAAUAUGAUUUUUCCCCCCAAAAAAAUCGUUUUUUUCGCAAUUGUGAGCAAGGGAGUGUGAGGAGGGGAAAAUUUUUUUGGCUCCAACACUUUUUUUUAAAGGCACCUAACAAUGUUUCAUGAAAAUUUGAAACAUCCGAGGACAGGGGCAUUUCCCCUAUUUUACCCGAGAAUACGCUUUAUCUAUGAAAUUGAAAAAUUUCUGAAUUUUUUCUCAUUCAUUUUUGAUUUUUUUUAAUCCAUGUGUUCUUUCAUACGUGAGAAUAUAAUAUCUUAAUUUAUUAAAUACCUAUUAAUUGGCAUUUAAUUUUUGUUCAAAUUCAAAGAAUGAAAUAAAUUGACAGCUUGAACUUCAUGCGAAUGGACAGGUUUUUUUCAAUAAGUACCUGUUCGCUGUACCUCCCCCCCCCCCCUUCAAAAGUACUCACAUUGGCCUGAAUAAUUUCGAAAUGAUAUUAUUCUUGCUGUAUGGGUUGGAUAACUGAUAAAGGAAAGGGGAAGAGAUUAUUAUGAAAAAUAAAAAUAAAAAAAUAUUCAUUGAGGUAAUUUAAAAUUCUCUUCGAAUAAAAAAACAUUAGAGUAGAUUGUCAUGAAACUUCAAAUUAUUGGAGAAUGUUUUCGCUAUUAGAACAUAAAGACUUAAAAAAAAUGGAAAAAUAUUCAAAAAGUAUGGGAAUUUUCAAAAAAUUGAAGAAUGAUUUCAUUACAAACACUUCAAAAAAUCUCAUAUUUACGGCGAACCAAGUAGGCAACUUUAUCGACAUAUUUUUUCUCACGAUUUACUACAAUAUUGAAUUAUUUAAAGGACCGGAAAUUCAAUUCUGAUUUCUGAGGUCCUGAGUUAACAUUUACUUACUUACAAAGAAAAAAAUCAGAAAUAACUAAAAUUCAAACAAAAUAUCAAGUAUAAUAUGAUAAGUAGCUUAUUAACGAAGUUGAGACUUCAGAUAAUUGGUGUUUUUUUCUGAUCGGGGGGGGGGGGGGGGAAUUGGGGAAACAUUUAUGUUGAAAAACAUUUUGUUUAAAAAUUAAACCAGAUGUCUUUUUUAAUCCGUAAAAAUAUUUUUAGGGGCCAAGAUAGUGAUACUAUCGAUAACGCUGCUAUGUAGUUUAGUUUUUAACAAUUUUAGGCGUUGAAAAACACCUCAAGCUGUAGAGAAGGUUUAUGAUUCAUUGGCCAUUUUUCACCAAGGGGGAAUACCUAAAUCAAUUCUUAUUUAAGCUCUCGUUCUAACUGGCAGUAGCAUAUCAAGCUUCAUGAAAUUAUAUACGCGUGUAGAUUUUAUACGUAGUACCUACUAAGUUUACAGUAUAAUUCAAUAGUAUGUAAUCGU